CCCUUAGAUGUUCUGGGCCGCACGCGUGCUACACUGAGUGGAUCAGCGGGUCAGGUUGCGCGAAAGCGUUUCCUAAUCUUUAAAUCCGCUCGUGAUGGGGAUUGACGGUUGCAAUUUUCUGUCAUGAACGAGGAAUACCUUGUAAGCGCGGGUCAUCAUCCCGCGCUGAAUACGUCCCUGCCCUUUGUACACACCGCCCGUCGCUCCUACCGAUUGAGUGGUCCGGUGAAUCUUUUGGAAUUAGAGUGCAAACUCAAACUAAGAUCGAUAAACCUUAUCACUUAGAGGAAGGAGAAGUCGUAACA
rnacentral:rRNA from 1 species